rnacentral:lncRNA from 1 species
UUAAAAAUAAAAUUAGUAAAUAUACAAGGUAUCGUUAUUAUAAUGAGUUUUUAUUUCUUUCAAUAACUCUUAUAUUAAUUAAUUUAUUUUACCAUUUAUUCAUGAAGUCGUGUGUUUCAUUUAUAUAAUUUAUGUUUUAUUUUACGCUUGAUAUUGAUUUAUAGAUUUUUAUAUCACAUUUGUAAAUUUUUAUUUUAUUUACUAAUAAUACACUAAUUCGCCACUUUUAUGUUGAUUUAUUUAUUUUAUCUUUCAUUUACAAGAUUUGUGUUCCAUUUACAUAAUUUAUGUUUUAUUUUACGUCUAAUGUUGAUUUAUAAAUUUUAUGUUAAAUUUAUUUGUCUUAUAUUUUUUAACAUGAUUCGUUAUAUAAUUAUAAUAUUGAUUUGAUAAUUUUAAUUACCACAUCGUUGAAUGACUAGAAAUACUACAAUCAAUUACAAUAUUAAUCAUAUUUUAAUUACCUGAUGAAACAAUCAGCUGCAACAUCAAUCUAACCGGACAAUUAAAAAUAAUAAUCUAAUAACUAAUUUUAUUUUCAUUUAAUUAAACAUGGAAAUAUUAAUUUAAUUGCAUCCCUGUGAAGUACAGCUGUAAAGCAACAAAGCGAAUAUGAUAAUGUUCAAAAGAGAAAUAGAAAAGUUAAAUAUUUUUUCUCCUAUAAAAAAAAAAUCUACGUGGAUUAAUUUGAAAUGGUAUUGGGGGAAUAUGAGGAAUGUAAAGUUAUGGUCCUUACGGACAGCAGCAAGAAAACAUUACACGUCAUGGUGCUAGAUUGAGUCAUUAAUUAAUUAGUGAAAUACGUAACACACAGCUGGCAAAUGUUUAAAAAAAAAAAAUGUGCAAACUAUAAGAAGCUAUAUAUUGUUGACGCCCUCACCUCACCUCACCUACCUACGUUCUGAUUAUUAUUAUUAUUAUUAUGCGGAUGAUGCACCUACCUCUGGACACGAAGAAGUGGAAAUAAACUAUAGCCUAAAAAUUAGACUAGUCCGAAUAAAUUACAAAUUAAAUUUAUCUAAAGAAACAACGUGUUGAUAUCACUUUCGGUGGCAAUAUUAUAGGUUUAUAUUGUCUAUCAAUGGGGAGAUAGAGGCCCAUUGUAAAUAAGUUCAUAUUGUAAAUUCAAAGGCUGGGGUUGCAUCAUGGAGAAAAAUCCUACGUCUCAAAUUGUCGUAUUGCUGCUGAAAGUAACAUCAGUUUGAAAUUGAUAAGAAGACUACAACGUUUGCAAGUUAUUAUUAUUUUGAUCAGCGCAUUUUUUGACCGAAGUUGAUUUGUGAUUGGGCUGUUCUAGAGUUUGUAGGCCCAUUCAUUUGAUCAUUUAAAUGGGUUUGGAAAUCCGCAAUCUGAUUGAACUUGUUCUCCCCGAUUGAGAUCAGUGGCACUGAGCCCAUUUGUAGUAAAUGGGAUCAACUUGUAGGAUGAUUGACAUUUGAUCAUAUUAUGGUUCCCGAGAAACUCACUUCUCUUUUUAGUAUUUUGCGUUGAGCAAUGGCCAAUGAGCACUAACUAAGUUAAUGGUUAAAAUUUAUUUUUUAUUUUGCUUUUUUUUAAAAAAAAAAUUUAAUUACCAUGAUUCGAUACUCGAUAAAAAUUCUUAGCACGGCUUCCUUGUUCUUCUUUUAAUAGAAUUUCAUAAUACUCUCUCUAUUUUUUUUUUCUCUUUAUUGAUUUUUUUUAAUGUCAAAAUUUUAACAAAAUAAAAUAAUUACUUUUCUGACUAAAAUGAAUAUUUCUAUUAAUUUUUUGACACCAUAAGGUAACUUAGUAAGACGGCCCUGAUCCUAAAAUUUAGGAGAACAAGGCUUAAGUAAUAUAAAAACUGUCCAUGGUCAAUGGUAUAAGUAAAAAAUAUGAUAAUAAAUCAAAGAAAAGAGUGUCUUUCUCCCUUAUUUGAAUAUAUAUACUUGUCCAGAGUCCAGACCUUGAGCUGCCCAAGGCUGCAAGAGAUGAUUUCAAUUACCCGUUUAAACAGGAACGACUGAACAAUGAGGGUACAUUUGGUGUUAUUUUUCAACUACUAUUUUUCGUUUUCAAAAAGCACAAAAAGUAAAAAACGUGUUUGGCAGCAACAAACUUUGUGUUGUUUUCAUUCUUCCAGAAAUGAGAUAUUCUUGUUUUUCACUUUUAGUUCAUAAAAAUGAAAAAUUAAGGGUGCGUUUGGUAACCUUUUUUUUAGGGGUGUUUUUUGUUUUUAAAAAAUAAAAAACAUGUUUGGUUAAGCCAUUUUUUGAUAAAUAUUAAAAAAAAAUAGAGAACAAAAUAUUUCCGUUUUCCAACUUUUAUAAAGAAAAUUCAAGAACACCAAAUUGGCGUUAUUGAGUUGCUGGAAAAAAGUUACUUUUAUCUUAUCUUUUUUUUACAAAAGCAGCCGCUUUCACGAUUUCACUACCUUAUCUUCUGUUUCUUCAUUGUAUCGUUAAACAUGGUCUUUGGAUAUUUAGGCAUGUUUUGGAUGCAAAUAUUUUGUACUCUUUCAUUCUUUUAUGUUUAGUGAUGUAAAAUAUAAUUAGCAUAAAUGAACUACUUAAAUG